GGGUGUGGCCUCGUAUCAGUGUGAGGGAUAUGAGGGUCGUGUGGACGUUCCUGUGGAGGAGCUGCGUAAGGGGAACUGUUCACUGGUGUUACACAAUCUGACAUUUACUGAUACAGGAGUCUACACCAGCUACCAGACAGUGAGACACACCAAGAGAUCUGUCCGUGUUAGGAGAGGAACAGUCCUGAUCAACAGUGUUAAUCUCUCAGUCUAUGAAAAAACAGAAGAGAGAUCAGAUAACAGCUCAGGUUCCUCAGAUAACGGUGGAAGGAACCGUCUUCACUCAUUGAGCCUCAUUUUUCUCGUCUUCUUACUCUGUGGUGUAAUUGUGUCUCUGAUUAAGAAAAAAAAAUCUAAUAUUCAGUGAUGAAUAAUUCACAAACCUAAAUAUCUAGUUCUCUUUUCUGGUUAAAGCAAAGACUGUCUCAAACCAGCUACACACUUUAUUUAUAAACUCAGGGUUUUAUUCUCUACUGUAAAUAAUAAAUGUACAUAAAUCAGUGUAAUAUAUGUACAUAAAUCUGUUUAAUGCACACAGUGACGUCCUUUUGUAGUUCAGUUUUGUAAAAAUCUGAAUACAGAUUUAUUUAAUAGCCGUUAUUUACAUAAAAGUGUUAUUUACAUUUUAUACUGUGUUACUGUACGUUGGCAUACAAAUGCCCCGCCUU